rnacentral:rRNA from 1 species
ACAGGGAUUGCCUCAGUAACGGCGAGUGAAGCGGCAACAGCUCAAUUUGAAAUCUGGCUCUUUCAGGGUCCGAGUUGUAAUUUGUAGAAGAUGUUUCGAGUGUGGCUCCGGUCUAAGUUCCUUGGAACAGGACGUCAUAGAGGGUGAGAAUCCCGUAUGUGACUGGUUGCCUUCGCUCAUGUGAAACUCUUUCGACGAGUCGAGUUGUUUGGGAAUGCAGCUCGAAUGGGUGGUAAAUUUCAUCUAAAGCUAAAUAUUGGCCAGAGACCGAUAGCGCACAAGUAGAGUGAUCGAAAGAUGAAAAGCACUUUGGAAAGAGAGUUAAACAGUACGUGAAAUUGUUGAAAGGGAAGCGCUUGCAACCAGACUUGCGCGUAGUUGAUCAUCCGGGGUUCUCCCCGGUGCACUCGAUUACGCUCAGGCCAGCAUCGGUUUGGGUGGUUGGAUAAAGGCCUUGGGAAUGUGGCUUCCUUCGGGGAGUGUUAUAGCCCUCGGUGCAAUGCAGCCUAUCCGGACCGAGGACCGCGCUUCGGCUAGGAUGCUGGCGUAAUGGUUGUAAGCGACCCGUCUUGAAACACGGACCAAGGAGUCUAACAUUUAUGCGAGUGUUUGGGUGUUAAACCCAUACGCGGAAUGAAAGUGAACGGAGGUGAGAACCCUUAAGGGUGCAUCAUCGACCGAUCCUGAUGUCUUCGGAUGGAUUUGAGUAAAAGCAUAACUGUUGGGACCCGGAAGAUGGUGAACUAUGCCUGAAUAGGGUGAAGCCAGAGGAAACUCUGGUGGAGGCUCGCAGCGGUUCUGACGUGCAAAUCGAUCGUCAAAUUUGGGUAUAGGGGCGAAAGACUAAUCGA